rnacentral:lncRNA from 1 species
ACUCUAAUUGAUAUCUUUCAGCUACAACACCAGUACCGAUAACAGCGACAACGGGUAAUCAUCCAAUUAUUCAACAAUUUAGUUGCAUUACAAAAAUUAUAACUAUUUAAAAACUUAGUCACAAAACAAAAAAAUAUCUGCGACCUUUUUUAAACAGAUACCAAUACGAAAUGAUUUGUAUAUUCAGAUUUGAAAUAUUGGAAGUAGCAUCAGUUUGCUCUAACUGCUAAAAUAGAUUCUAUGAAAGGCUUUAUAUAUCAGCACGAGCCGAAUCAGAUUCACUGUUUUCAUUAUAUGUCAAUGUAUAUAUUUAAAGCACAUCACAGAUCUUUUUCAAUGAUGCGAAUUCGGAAAUGCAUAUCUUUUUUUAGGGAAAGGAGGAAACAGGCUUUUUAUUUAUUUAUUUAGCAAUCAAUAAUGUUUUAGUAUUUUCCCAAAACAAUUAAGGUUGUGCAAGCGUGUAUUGUAUGGUUUAGUAUUUGGUGAAGAUUCCAUUUUUUUUUUUGUUAAGAAUUCUUAUUGAUUUCAUGUACGUUUUUUAAAUACAGUAUUGGGUACAACAACACCGCUAGAGUGCAUUGAUCGUGAAACAAAGUGCAGUGAUACAUUUUAUCAGUCGAUCCUGUGUACAGCGACAGACCAGAAUUCCAAAGAUUAUGCCCUUAAAACAUGUCCAAAGGCUUGUAAUUUGUGCGAUAAGCUCCUUGGUACGUAUUAUAUCAAUAGUUAUUAAAAGCCGGAUAAAUGCAUUAUUCUAUCGGGCAACGUUUCGUUAAAUGUAACAAUUAGGGGUCUAUCAUUCAUUUAUUGUCAUUAGUUGCUGUCUGUCAUAUCUUUUAUUGUUUUAUUUUUUUUUAUCAUAAAUCAGGCAGUUAUUUUUUUUUAAAUUGUUCACAUUUUGUCAUGUCGGAUUUGUUUCAUAUGCCACAUCGCCUUAUUUUCAUAAAGCAGAAUACUUGUUAUAUUUUCCUGAUAUUUUAUCUUUUGAAGGAUCAAUAGGUUCAGCGUUUGGGUGAGUAAAAUAUGUUUGUUAGAAUUAUUAAGAUAAACAGAUAACUGUACACGUUUGCUGCUAAAUAGGUGCCGGUAUAGACGGCCAGUAAUUUGGAUAAAGAUUCUAUCAAUAUAUUCAUUAAACGGUUAUUAUCGAUGACUAUGGAGCCACUUUGUCUUCAUUUGUACAUUGAACAAUUACUUUGUUUUCAUGGUGCAUUUCGCAGUAUUCAUUAACUACAACUACAUUUGCAGACUUACAAGUGACAUUCAAUAACAAUACAAUUCGAUUAUUUUUAUGAAUCAAAAAUCAAAAAUAACAAGUUCAACUAAAGAUAGCCAGCAAUAUGAAAUCACAAAAGUGUCCAUGAUGAUUAACAAUGAUAUGUGUAAUACUUUUAUUUCUAAAUUCAAAAAUAUUAACAUAACAAAGUGAGUAAGGGGAAGCAGCUUUAUUUAUCUAAGUCUACUAAGAUUGAGGCGAAUUUAGGAAAAAAAGAGCUUCAUAAUAAAUUAAUUUUUUAUUUUAUUGUAAUCAGGGGUAGCACUGCUUGUACCAAGAUAACUGAUAUCAUCCCCGCUUUAAAACGUUUGUCCAUAACUGUUUUUAUCGAUCAUCUUUGCACAUUCUUGUGUUUGUCUUAUAACUGUUUAAGUUUCAUCAGUAUCUAUUUAGUCAAUUGUGAUGAGUUUUGUUAGAAAGCACACGAAAAAGACAGUCAAAAUUGUGUCUGUGGUUAUAAUAAAACUAACCACUUUUCAAAUGACCAUAUUGUUAAUUAUCAUUCACAUGCGUGCAGGAAUAUUCUGCCUAGUUCUUAAAAAGCGACACUUUUUUCAAUGGACAUUGUUUUAAUUAAUUUGCAUUGGAAGUAAAUAUAAAUCAAUUAAUGACUUUUUAACAGCGGUAUACUACUGUUGUCUUUAUUCAAAUACACCCCUCCCCUCCAAAAAAAAAAUGGACCACAAAACAAAAUAUCGGUAAUGAUUUUCAUUUAUUUUUUUACAUUUCAAGACUGAGAAUUACAGUCUCAUGACACGUUUAUUGUUGCCAUUACUGGAUUAAAACGACAGCGUUAAACUUGUAUUCCAUUGUAAUCAAACUAAUCAAAUAUGAGAUCGAAAGACAAUGUUACGUCUGGUAAAAAAAGACUUAAAAUUAUGCAAGCCUUUAACUGAAAUAUAAGAAUGAUAAUUUCAAUACAACGUUUGGAAUACCAGACAUUUUCAAUACCGUUACAUAAAUUUAAAACAACCGUUUUAAAACAACAAUAACAUCGUAAUUUGGUUUCAUUCUAUUUUCAUUUCAUUGUUAUAAAUCUUUUUCGGUUAUUAACAUUUUAUUUUUCGGAGACAAAGAUGAAGGUCCUCAAAAUCCUGUUUACUCCCAAGGGUUAAGGUUCAUCAUAAGGAAUUGAAAAAUAUGGCCGUAUUUACACCUCCAAAAUUACUAUGAGUACAGACAAACUGGUACAUCCAGGAAAGUUUUAAGGCAUGGCAGGAACUAGAUAUAUAAAAGUUAUAAAGUCUACGUUUCAGAAAAUUAAAAACUUACCUGGAUUUUGAUGUUCAUUUUUUCCAGUUCUGCAGAAGGUAGCAAAAUAAACAAACCCCGAGUUUCAUUGAUACGGUCACUCAGUUACAGCACAGUUUAAACCUGUUAAAUCACCUAUUGUUUACAGGUGUCUAUUGUCCAUCUAUUGUCCAUUUAAAUCAAUACUACUCACAACAUGAUAUAGAGGGAGCCUUCCAUCGUUUCACUACUUAGUAAUUUUGCACCUUCUGCAGGAACGAAAAAAAAUGGAUAGCAAAAUCUAGAAAAGUUUAUAAUUUUCUGAAACAUGAAAUGAAUUUAAAAUUUAUAUAUCUAGUUCCUGCCAUCCCUUAAAACUGUUGCGGGUGUAUAGGUUAGUCUGUACUCAGAGUAAAAUUUGGGGUGUAAAUACGGCCAUUUUAGCCAAAAGGUUAUGAUGAACCUUAAAGUGAAUAUUCUAUAUAGAAAUAAGAAUUUCGGCAUGAAUGCUAAUGAGACAACUCUCUAUCCAAGUCACAAUGUGCAAAAAGUAAACAAUCGUAGGUCAAAGUACGACCUUUAACACGGAGCCUUGGCUCACACUAAACACCAAGCUAUAAAGGGCCCUAAAAUGACUAGUGUAAAAAUAUUCAAACAGAAAAACCAGCGGUCUAAUCAAUACGAUACGAGAAAACAAAAGAAAAGCACUUUUGAGUACUAGCGUUGUUCAUCAUCCCAAUAACGUGUUAAAGAGUUCUUUCAUUUGUCUGAAAAUUAUUACUUUUACUGUUCAGUCUAUUUUUUGGUAAUAUUUAUUUCAUGUGACUCGGUACUUAUAAAUCCCGUAAUUGUAUUAUAUAAAUUUUGUAAAUGUGUGUGUUCUUGUCUUUCGUUUUGCUAAUGUGCUUUGUCUAUAUCAUUUUUUCUCUUUUUGUAGUUGACAUAUAUAUGUUGUUAAUUAAGAUUAUAAAAAAUGUUGACUGUUGCACCCCUAUUUUUGCCAUUUUUACCUAUCAUGUCUGUUUUUUUAAGUUCACAAAUUGUUGUCUAUAUAAUUGAAUUUUGUAGACAGUGAGAGGUUAAGCUAGCUAUAAACCCAGGUUUAAUCCACCAUUUUCUACAUCAGAAAAUGUCUGAAACUAGUCAGUAAUAUAACAGCUGUUAUUCAUUUGUUUGAUGUGUUUAAUUUUUCUGACAUUGUCAUUUGAUUAGGGACUUUCCGUUUGAAAUUGACCUCGGAGUUCGGUUUUAUUAUUAUUUUACUUUUUAUGAAUCACAUAAACAAACGAAAACAUAUGAACAUCCGAUUUCUGACUUAAGACAGGUGCAUACAAAUGUAGGGGACUUAAACAGGCGCCAACCUUCACAUUUUCCUGAAACAGAAGUUUAACAUUACAACAAAAAAGGACACACAACAAAAUAUCAAUUGAAACUGCAUAACUCGAUCAAAGAGACAUCAAUAAAACAUGUAAACUAACACUGAACUGAAUGAGUAGAUUUGAUAUAUGACACAAUAUAAAUACAAUUUAAAUUUAAAAAAAAAAAAGAAGAUGCCAAACAAUACUAUAAAGUCAACUGUAACCUAUAACAAAAUGAUGUCCCUAUUAUCUUGUAUUGAAUAUGUUGAUAUUUAAGAUUUUGUCAUACUUGGUUACAAUACACGUCUUUUUCUAUUUAUAGCUUACAUAUUUUUUUUCUUUUUCAGGCGUUAAUGUACGGGAGAGAUACUUGUAUACUUUUUGUGUGAUGAAUAAAUG